GAUGGUGUGGCUCACAUGGUAGAGCACCUGCCUUGCAAACAUGAAGCCCUGAGUCAAUUCUUAGAACUACCA
rnacentral:tRNA from 1 species